rnacentral:rRNA from 1 species
UACAGAGGUCCCGAGCGUUGUUCGGAUUCAUUGGGCGUAAAGGGUGCGUAGGCGGUCUUCUAAGUUUGAUGUGAAAUCCCGGGGCUCAACCCUGGAAUUGCAUUGAAUACUGGAGGACUAGAGUACUGGAGAGGAAACUGGAAUUUACGGUGUAGCAGUGAAAUGCGUAGAGAUGUGGAGGAAUACCGAUGGCGAAGGCGGCAUCCUGGACCGGCAUUGACGCUGAGUGAGCGAAAGCCAGGGGAGCAAACGGG